rnacentral:rRNA from 1 species
UACGUAGGGUGCGAGCGUUAAUCGGAAUUACUGGGCGUAAAGCGUGCGCAGGCGGUCUGUUAAGACAGAUGUGAAAUCCCCGGGCUUAACCUGGGAACUGCAUUUGUGACUGGCAGGCUAGAGUAUGGCAGAGGGGGGUAGAAUUCCACGUGUAGCAGUGAAAUGCGUAGAGAUGUGGAGGAAUACCGAUGGCGAAGGCAGCCCCCUGGGCCAAUACUGACGCUCAUGCACGAAAGCGUGGGGAGCGAACAGG